CGAAUGGGGCAAGCGUUGUUCGGAAUCACUGGGCUUAAAGCGUACGCAGGCGGUCUCGCAAGUCAGGAGUGAAAUCCCAGGGCUUAACCCUGGAAUUGCUUUUGAAACUGCAAGACUAGAAUCCGAGAGAGGUUGGCGGAAUUCCGAGUGUAGAGGUGAAAUUCGCAGAUAUUCGGAGGAACACCAGUGGCGAAGGCGGCCAGCUGGAUCGGUAUUGACGCUCAUGUACGAAAGCGUGGGGAUCAAACAGGAUUAGAUACCCUGGUAGUCCACGCUGUAAACGAUGUGUGCUAGUUGUCGGAGCCGUCAGGCCCCGGUGACGCAGGGAAACCUUUAAGCACACCGCCUGGGGAGUACGGUCGCAACGAUUAA
rnacentral:rRNA from 1 species